rnacentral:lncRNA from 1 species
GGGACAUCUAAGGACAACUGGCGACACUUUGGGGGCAUCUGAGGACAUUUUAGGGUCAUUUAAGGACACUUUGGGGACAUCUGGGGACACUUUGGGGGCGUUUGGGGACACUGGGGGCAUCUGGGGACACUCUGGGGUCGUUUAAGGACACUUUGGGGGCAUUUAAGCACACUUUGGGGACAUCUAAGGAGAUCUGGGGACACUUUGGGGGCAUCUGGGGACACUUUGGGGACAUCUAAGGACACCCUGCAGACCCCACAGGACCCAUCUCCGCCUUUGACCCCAAUGCCCCCAUUGACCCCAAUGCCCCCAUUGCCCCCAGUGCCCCCAUUGUCCUCAUUGCCACCACUGCCCCCAUUGACCCCAAUGCCCCCACUGACCCCAUUGCCCCCAUUGUCCUCAUUGCCACCACUGCCCCCAUUGACCCCAAUGUCCCCACUGCCCCC